AGCCUGAAGAGCAACUCAAGGAUCACCUGCUCGUUUAUUUGUGGCAUGCUGCAAAAAAGUUUAGCUUUGGGGUGCUACCAUCCACCAGAGUUGAUUUGCUUGCUGCAAUUAUUGGACUGAGCACAUGAAACACAUGCAGAAACUUUUCUUUCUUAUGAGCUCCAGUUUCGAUGGUCAGAAUUCAUAAAGACGUGACUUUCUAUAGCUCAUGAUAUUUAAUGUGAGACAGCAAGGAGCAACAUGUAUGGCUAUACGAUAGAGAGGCAUGAAAGACUUAAUAUGGUCUUUGCAUAUAAAAUGUUUGUAUCUCUGUUUAUUCUUUAAACAAUAUGAUGUAGGCAGGCAAGCAUAAGAAUGGCAAAUUUUGAUUGAAGUUGAAAUAAA